CUACGGGCGGCUGCAGUGAGGAAUAUUGGUCAAUGGACGCAAGUCUGAACCAGCCAUGCCGCGUGCAGGAUGACGGCCCUAUGGGUUUUAAACUGCUUUUAUUAAGGAAUAAACCCCAUUACGUGUAAUGGGCUGAACGUACUUAAAGAAUAAGCAUCGGCUAACUCCGUGCCAGCAGCCGCGGUAAUACGGAGGAUGCAAGCGUUAUCCGGAUUCAUUGGGUUUAAAGGGUUCGCAGGCGGCGUAUUAAGUCAGUGGUGAAAUCCCCCGGCUCAACCGGGGAACUGCCAUUGAUACUGGUAUGCUAGAGUAUAGUUGGCGUAGGCGGAAUAUUUCAUGUAGCGGUGAAAUGCUUAGAUAUGAAAUAGAACACCGAUCGCGAAGGCAGCUUACGAAACUAUAACUGACGCUCAGGAACGAAAGCGUGGGGAGCGAACAGGAUUAGAUACCCGCGUAGUC
rnacentral:rRNA from 1 species